UUAUUAUUAUUUUGUGUUUUUGAAACAGGGUCUCGCUGUGUAGUUCAGGUCGGCCACGAGCUCACUUUGUAGCCCAGGCUGGUCUUGAGCUUGCAACGAUCCUCCUGCCUCAGCCUCCCGAGGGCUGGGAUUACAGGUGUGCACCACCAUACCCGGCCCAGUUUGCCAAAUAAAAGUAUUCUACUUGCCUUGAACAAAGAAUUGGACAAGACAAGCUAAAAACAAUGCCAAACGUUUAUUUGAAAGGCUUCUGGACCCUGCCCCCCCAUCUCCUCUGGAUGUCACUGUUUCCUUUCUUGGGCCAUGGGCUUCUCAUAUGCAAGCGCCACAACUGGCUUAGAGAUCCAGAUCUUCACACUUCUCCAGCUACAGUGUUUGGACGAUUGGUGGGGACCGAAUGAAUCUGAUUAGGACCCAGACAGCGUGCCCCUCCAGAAGACGCUGGCGGAUACGUAAUUACAAAGAUGACUCCUGGUGGGGAUGGCACCAACCCCAGGGGAAGAACGCCAAGAAAGGGAGAAGCCGAGUCUUACGUUGCAAGCAUCCUGGAGCCCCACAUGGGGAGACCUGAAGUUCUGCACCCUAUUGUCUGGUUUGUAUUUUGUGAUUGAGGCGACCUCAUAAAAUGAAUUAGAUGGUUUCUCAAAUUUGUCCUGGGAAUUACGUUUUUUUUUUUUUUUUUUUUUUUUUGGUACUGGGAAUGGAACUCAAGACCUUGUGCUUGCCAGCCAGGCACAGGGCCACCGAGCUGUAUCCCUGGUCUGGGAAUGACUUCUUGGCCUGUUAGCUAUUCAGAGAAAUAUAGUUUUAACAAUUAUAUAUAUAUUUUUGUCCUUUUUUUUUUUUUUUUUCAGACAGGGUCUCACUGUAUAGUUCAGGCUUCCCCUGAACUAACUAUGUAGCCCAGGCUAGCCUCGGACUCACAGCGAUCCUCCUGCCUCAGCCUCCGUGCUGGGAUUACAGGUGUGUGCCACCAUGGCUGGCUAAAAAAUUAUAUUUGUAAGGCUGAAUCAC
rnacentral:lncRNA from 1 species